rnacentral:rRNA from 1 species
AGCGAACGCUGGCGGCAGGCCUAACACAUGCAAGUCGAACGGAUCCUUCGGGAUUAGCGGCGGACGGGUGAGUAACACGUGGGAACGUGCCCUUUGGUUCGGAACAACUCAGGGAAACUUGAGCUAAUACCGGAUGUGCCCUUCGGGGGAAAGAUUUAUCGCCAUUGGAGCGGCCCGCGUCUGAUUAGCUAGUUGGUGAGGUAACGGCCCACCAAGGCGACGAUCAGUAGCUGGUCUGAGAGGAUGGUCAGCCACACUGGGACUGAGACACGGCCCAGACUCCUACGGGAGGCAGCAGUGGGGAAUCUUGCGCAAUGGGCGAAAGCCUGACGCAGCCAUGCCGCGUGAAUGAUGAAGGUCUUAGGAUUGUAAAAUUCUUUCAGCGGGGACGAUAAUGACGGUACCCGCAGAAGAAGCUCCGGCUAACUUCGUG